CCUACGGGGGGCAGCAGUGGGGAAUAUUGCACAAUGGGGGAAACCCUGAUGCAGCGAUGCCGCGUGAGUGAAGAAGUAAUUCGUUAUGUAAAGCUCUAUCAGCAGGGAAGAAAAUGACGGUACCUGAGUAAGACGCCCCGGCUAACUACGUUCCAGCAGCCGCGGUAAUACGUAGGGGGCAAGCGUUAUCCGGAUUUACUGGGUGGAAAGGGAGCGUAGACGGCAGUGCAAGUCUGGAGUGAAAGGCGGGGGCUCAACCCCCGGACUGCUCUGGAAACUGUACGGCGGGAGUGCAGGAGAGGUAAGUGGAAUUCCUAGUGUAGCGGUGAAAUGCGUAGAUAUUAGGAGGAACACCAGUGGCGAAGGCGGCUUACUGGACUGUAACUGACGUUGAGGCUCGAAAGCGUGGGGAGCAAACAGGAUUAGAUACCCCUGUAGUC
rnacentral:rRNA from 1 species